rnacentral:rRNA from 12 species
CCUUAGUAACGGCGAGUGAAGCGGCAACAGCUCAAAUUUGAAAGCUGGCCCUUUCAGGGUCCGCGUUGUAAUUUGUAGAGGAUGAUUCGGCGAGGGCUCCCGCCUAAGUCCCCUGGAACGGGGCGUCAUAGAGGGUGAGAAUCCCGUAUGCGGUGGGCUGCCUUAGCCGUGUGAAUCUCCUUCGACGAGUCGAGUUGUUUGGGAAUGCAGCUCUAAAUGGGAGGUAAAUUUCUUCUAAAGCUAAAUACCGGCCAGAGACCGAUAGCGCACAAGUAGAGUGAUCGAAAGAUGAAAAGCACUUUGGAAAGAGAGUUAAAAAGUACGUGAAAUUGUUGAAAGGGAAGCGCUUGCAACCAGACUUGUCCGCAGUUGCUCAGCCGGUCUCCUGACCGGCGUACUCUUCUGCGGCCAGGCCAGCAUCAGUUCGGGCGGUCGGAUAAAGACCUCGGGAAUGUAGCUCCUCUCGGGGAGUGUUAUAGCCCGGGGUGGAAUGCGGCCAGCCUGGACUGAGGAUCUCGCUUCGGCAAGGAUGCUGGCGUAAUGGUUGUAAGCGGCCCGUCUUGAAACACGGACCAAGGAGUCUAACAUCUAUGCGAGUGUUUGGGUGUCAAACCCAUACGCGUAAUGAAAGUGAACGGAGGUGGGAACCCGCAAGGGCGCACCAUCGGCCGAUCCUGAUGUCUUCGGAUGGAUUUGAGCAAGAGCAUAGCUGUUGGGACCCGAAAGAUGGUGAACUAUGCCUGAAUAGGGUGAAGCCAGAGGAAACUCUGGUGGAGGCUCGCAGCGGUUCUGACGUGCAAAUCGAUCGUC